rnacentral:rRNA from 1 species
ACCCCUACGGGGGGCAGCAGUGGGGAAUAUUGCACAAUGGGCGCAAGCCUGAUGCAGCCAUGCCGCGUGUAUGAAGAAGGCCUUCGGGUUGUAAAGUACUUUCAGCAGUGAGGAAGGUUCAUACGUUAAUAGCGUGCAUCUUUGACGUUAGCUGCAGAAGAAGCACCGGCUAACUCCGUGCCAGCAGCCGCGGUAA